GUGUUUGCAGGUCCAUUUAGCCAGCGGUACUCACAGAGCACUGCUCAUCGAUGGAAGGCGCCGUAUGUUGAUAUUUGGUUUUAUUCAUUACCAUCGAAAUACUCUGGAGGUUUCCACUGUCUUUCUCUAAAUUCGUAUCAAUGUUUUUUAGUUACUUUCUACAGAGCAUGUGAUAAGUUCUUGGUACCAUGAAAGUGAAUUAGUUACAAAGUUAAUAAUUUCUCAUUGCUUCUCAAAGUGUAAUGGAUAAUAUAUCCUGACAAGGGUUGAAAACUUAAAAUGCUAUUGCGUCUUGUAUGACCCAUUUAGGGUGGAUACUACAAAAUUCAAUAAGAUUUUUUUACAAUUAGCUGAAAUUCAUUACAAAUAAUGUUCAAAAUUAAUUAACUUCUGUACUCAUAGGACUUCUUUAAGCAUAUAACUCUUAUUUUAUAUAUGCGUGUGACUGUGAUCCUUGCCACUAUCCCAUUCUUGAAGAUUAAUAUAGUCCUAGAAGCAUUCCAAGGACCGUUAACCAAGAAUCUGGCAAGGUAACCAAUUUAAUUUCAUAGUACAAUCUUCGAACUCUACAAUUUUAUAUAUAUGGCAAAGUGAUCCUUACAUCAAUAGUGAAGAUUAAGCUUAAAUUCUUACAAUCAUCUUUGUAACAAGCUAGUUGAUUUUGAAUUCAAGGCCCAAGUUCUUGUUUACUGCUCGGAGUAUCUACAAGGUGGAGCUCCACCACUAAUGGUGAAGACAGUGCUAGCAUCUGAAGAAUCAAAGGGUGACCUGAAAAGUGGAAGAGGGAAGAGGGGAGAGAUUGGAUGCAGAGGGAAGUUGCAGGGUGGUUGGUGUGGCAAAAGUUGAUCUGUUAAUGAUUUUCUCAUGAAUUCUUUCCUUGCCUUCCAACUGAGUGCCUCACUGGCCUCAAUGCUGUGAUCUCAAUUUCUGCCUAUUUUAAUUCAUUUCAUAAUCCAAGUUGAAAAUUUUGAGUAAAGGCUUCAGUGAAUUGCUCAUACUAUUAGUAAAGAAAUUGCUUUAUCUUUAUAAAGUACUGAAGAUAGAUAUGACUUCAAAAAUGCAUAAGGAGCAAACAAAGGAAAAAAAUCUCAAGGAAUAAAGCUACAAGAGGAGAAGACAAAGUACUAGUAUCUUAUGAUGGCUGUUAGGAUAUUAAUAGACUUUGAGAGUUGUAUUUUUUUUUGUGAUAUUUGGCUUUGUAUCUUUACAAUAAAUUAUGACAAACAAUAGCAUAAGACUUAUAUUGGUAUAGUUUUAGCAUAUACACAAUUGAUUGCUGGGUCCUUCAUUUGUAAUGAAAUUAUAUGAAUUAAAAAUUCAAUGGAAAGUUGUUUCUUUUAUGUUUA